ACGGGAGGCAGCAGUGGGGGAUAUUGGACAAUGGGGGAAACCCUGAUCCAGCGACGCCGCGUGAGUGAAGAAGUAUUUCGGUAUGUAAAGCUCUAUCAGCAGGGAAGAAAAAUAACCAAAUUGACAGUACCUGACUAAGAAGCCCCGGCUAACUACGUGCCAGCAGCCGCGGUAAUACGUAGGGGGCAAGCGUUAUCCGGAUUUACUGGGUGUAAAGGGAGCGUAGGCGGCGGAGCAAGUCAGAUGUGAAAGCCCGGGGCUCAACCCCGGGACUGCAUUUGAAACUGUUCUGCUUGAGUAUCGGAGAGGUAAGUGGAAUUCCUAGUGUAGCGGUGAAAUGCGUAGAUAUUAGGAGGAACACCAGUGGCGAAGGCGGCUUACUGGACGAUAACUGACGCUGAGGCUCGAAAGCGUGGGGAGCAAACAGGAUUAGAUACCCUGGUA
rnacentral:rRNA from 1 species